rnacentral:rRNA from 1 species
GAUGAACGCUAGCGGGAGGCUUAACACAUGCAAGUCGAGCGGGAUUAGCAGCAAUGCUAUGAGAGCGGCGCACGGGUGCGUAACGCGUAUGCAACCUGCCUUAUACAGGGGAAUAGCCCAUGGAAACGUGGAUUAACGUCCCAUAGGAUCACGGGAUCGCAUGGUUUUGUGAUUAAAACUGAGGUGGUAUAAGAUGGGCAUGCGUCUGAUUAGGUAGUUGGUGAGGUAAUGGCUCACCAAGCCGACGAUCAGUAGGGGUUCUGAGAGGAUUACCCCCCACACUGGUACUGAGACACGGACCAGACUCCUACGGGAGGCAGCAGUGAGGAAUAUUGGUCAAUGGCCGGAAGGCUGAACCAGCCAUCCCGCGUGCAGGAUGACGGCCCUAUGGGUUGUAAACUGCUUUUGUACCUGAAGAAACCUGGUUACGUGUAGCCAGUUGCCGGUAAGGUAUGAAUAAGCAUCGGCUAACUCCGUGCCAGCAGCCGCCGUAACAC